AGUCUAUUGCUGCAGGAAAAAAAUGUGCAUUGCUGUUCUUCUUGAGCACAUCGUACGCAUCUCCACAUUUUUGUGUCGGGUCUAAUUAUCCUUUUGGACCAAGUGUGACUGUCCUCAGGUCCCCUUUGGAUCAGGUAAAGCACCUCGGCACGCAAAUGAGGAGUUGAGCUGAAAAAACGAGGGGGCCGAGCCGGAUGAUCCGCCAACGUUAAGAGGCGUGCUUUGAAGAAAAUUCCAUCAAAGGAAAAACAAUAAGUGAAGCGGUGUGUGCGUGGAAAGCUGGUGUUAAAUACCUCGUGUUGUUCAGAAAUGCUUAAAAUCUCAAUUGGCUCCCUUAACUGGCAUCUGGAGAACAAUGAGUUGAAUCUGUUAGGGGUUUAUAAAAGGCUUUUAGUGUUUCCGUCUCCUUCCAUAUGCUGUUGCAUGAUUGCUUUGCAUCCUCAUAUUAGGCUGCACACCUUGUUUCCUCCUGCCGCCGCUGGAUAACGAACGUUGGGGAAAAUGUGUUUGAGUGUGGUUUCUGAUGUUUGAACAGCACAGGGCGUGCUUGAUUUACCGUGUGGCUGUCUGGCAGCUUCAAGAGAGGACACACGACUCACGAGAUGGGAAUUAAGUACUUCUCACAUCUACAAUCUAGACAAAUUCUUGCAUAUUUAUCAUACUUAACAGUUAGAAAUAGAAAUACAAUAGGUACUAAUGGCUUUGGAUGGUGAAUGGUAAUGGAUACUGUGUUGGGCCCUAAGGGAAAUACACCUGGGCCUUUUUGUAUCUGCGUUAGAUAUAUAGAUAACAGUUUCUUUACAGCUAUGAGUUACAGAUGUACAAAUAUGAAUCCAAAAGCAGUUUUGAAAUGACGUGCAAACCUUUUCCUUUGCUGAUGACAAACCAACUUUAAAGUUAGAACAUCUUAAUGAGAAAAUGUGCCAACUUUUGGUACAAUCUAUUUGCAUGAAGCUAGUCAUCAGCACUGUGGAGAGAAAAAGCUUCCUGCCUCUUGUUUAGCAGAUGUGUGGAGGAGCUGAAGACAUGUUCAUUUCUGACAUUUUCCCCAACCUGCUGUGACACAAAUAGACUCACUGUCACAUGAUGUAUAGUCAACGAUACAUCAGGGACCAGGGAAAACCAGGGGAAAUGGUUGUCGACUAAGAAGAGCAGUCGGCUUUUAUAAGCCUGAGUGAGAAAUUUAUAGGUGUCGUAUAAUAUUAUGUGGCAACAAAACUCUUUUGAAACCCAGAUAAAUAUUUUUUUUUUUUGAUUUUGCUGCGCUCUAAGGCCUUAAAAAUAAAUAAUUACUUAUCAAAAAAUCAUUCUGUAAGAGAAAAAAUGAAGUGCCCAAAAAAAUUUGAUAUUAUAUAAAUAAUAGUUUUUCUGUAUCUGUGGGCAAGGGUUCCUGAUAUCUCCAAGUGAUGACAUUUCAGACCUCUAAUUUUUAAUUUAAGAACUAAAAUAUAUAAAUUUUACCCUAAUGUCCCAUAUAUCCCCCAUGUUUUGCCCUGGUCUCUUAGAUAACCUCAUGUUUGAGGUAAAAAGGCCCAUCACUGUCUGUCUCAUCUUUGUCCUGGAGGCUGUAUCACCUCCUACACUUGCCACUGUGCCUACAAACAACUUGCCAGCAAGCCUGCCAACUGUCUUAAGCGUCUCUUAACCAGGUGAGACACGGACGACCUCCCCUUGCAACCUCUACAUCCUCUUUAUGACAGGAGAAAGGCUUUGUGUGUUUGCGUCGAUCGUGUUUGGCAUUUCUGCUGUGAAAUCUCGGACCUCACUGCAGCGCCACAGGCCGUUAGCCGUCAGGUCUGAGACACCGUCGACGUUGAUGGGAGUGGGAAGGGGCCAGGUAGAGGUGGACCUGUCAGCGCUGAUUUGUCAGGCCUUCACUCAUUGCCUCUUAGGUGCCAAAAGAGGUAUAGCUGCAGUUUUGUUGAAGUCUUUACUUAGUCAGACGCACAUUCACGGUCAUCUCUCUCCUCCGUGCUGUCCAAGAGAUAGUCUCUUGAACAGUUAAUUUAUUGCUGUGUAGGUUGAUCACCAGAAGCAAAAUAGCAGAGGUUGGUAGAUGAAACGGGCUCAUAGCUGCAUGUUUUAUUCUAAUCGUGUUGAACAGUAGUUUGAUGGUUAUGAUAGCUUUGCUUUGGUGGUUGAGUUUUCCACUGAUUCAUUUUUGUCUUAAUAUUGCGAACUGAUGAGAAUAUUUAGAGUUUGAGUCACUGCCAAUGUUGUGUAUCCUCUAAAACACAUAUUUCUUUGGAUUGCCUUUAGUGCACAUUGUUAUUUUUUAACUGGCGGAAAUGCACUUAAUAAAUGUCAAGUAGAAUAAUAAGGACUUCCUCAACAACUUCCUUGAAAGCAAUUGACUCCUGCAGUUUGAGAAAAACAAGACCCUCCCAUAACUGCUGCAAUACUGCCAUGAUUUAUUCAUUUGUGCUAUUGUUUGUUACAAAUCCACCUCUGUGAUAAUAAAGCUAUGUUUGUAAACCCUCACAGCUGCAAGAGGUCUAUUAAAAUGUGAACUUGAAAACCCAGAUACAGUUGUGACUUCAGCAGACUGCAUAUGGCAUGGUAAUGUUUACCAAUGUAGCUGCUCUGUGAUACUAACAGCAGCCAAUGAGAUAAGAGAGUGUUUUGGAUGGAGGUGGCGUCUUUUGCUGUUUGGAUUGUACUCUUUAUAUUGUGAUUUGAGUCUGUACUUUCAUACUUGACUUGAGAAAAUAAUACUAGCAAACAGGGUGAAUCUGCUGGAUCUCGUGGGAAUGGGAUGCUCUUCUGUUGUGAUUUUAAUCUGGCUGGAAUUGUCACUAUAGAUAAAGAUAAUAAAAGAAAAAUAACUUUUAUAUCUGAGAUAUUUUGGAAAACAAAUGUUUAGUCAGGCAUGUAUCUACUUUUUUUUCAGUGUUGUGGUCUGUUUAAGCUACUCUGGGAUCAGUGCUGUAACCUUUUUUAGCCAUUCAGCCCUUCCCUCCCUCUCCUGCCUCUUGAUUUCCCCAAAGUGCUGUGUUUUAUGUGUGCUUUUCUUUGGAAUCGGGGAGCUGGCAGGGUCGAGAGGAGCAGAGACGACCGUCCGAGACGUGGGAGAAUGAAAUGAGGUGGCUGUUUAUUCUCUCCGCCAAAGCCACAUACCUUUUUAGAGUGGCUUUGGAGCACGGCCUAAAACAACACCAGAGGCCAUGUACACAAAUUACAUGUCUCGCACUGAGUAGAAAGCUGGAUGGAAUGAUGGGAGGAUGGAAGAGUGAAGUUCCCAGUAAAAUAUAAUAGCUGUCAGAUAUAUAUAUUUUUCAAUAUGGAGAUGUUCUAAGUAUCUGUAAGAUCCAUAACUGCUUAGAAAGAUUAUGAGACAAAUGUGCCAAAUUAGCUUUUUUUGUCUUUUUUAAAACCCCCUUUUAUUUUUUUUUGUUCACAUCCAUUUUUUACUAUCUUCAGGCAGGGUUCAUGUGAAGGCCGCACAAGAUUAUACAACAUGAAGUUAAGAGCUCAUGUUUCAUUUUACAGAGGAAACGAACGGUGACUAUGAUAGAUUACACCUAGGAAGAAUUGUCCUAAUUGAAAUGAAUAUCAUAAUUUUUCUCUCAUGGUAUUUUUCUUGUCUGCCCUCAAAACCAGACAAAUAAGAGUAGACCCACAUAGUGUAGACACUGUAGCAAUAACAGGGGUAUUAGUAAUAAAUGCCACACCGGUGUUGUGGUUUUGAGAUCUCUGGGGAAAAAUAACAGCCAGCAGGAAAUAAAAGGGAAAACUGAUCCAAAAGAAAUAUUUUAAAAAAUCAACUUCAAGUUAGAUUUAAAUCUUUUAACACACAUUACAUAUGUGUUUCUAUAAUCUGAUGAACUUGUUAUCUGUAGUAAUAUCGCCAAGAUUUCCAGCUAUACCUUCCUUCCACUGAUUGUUGUAGAGUGAUCUGAGUGUCUCAUGAUUUUUUCUCACUGCCGUCUUUCCUUAUUAUGAAUAUUCAUCUACAGUACCAGACACCUUGCAGGCUUUUUGUUUGGGAACUUCAUCAUAAAUGUUUUAAACAUUGUCUUUGUUUGCUUAUGUCAAGGAAAUGCAAAGACAUCCUGUAGUGUUUACCUACCCUGAGCUGUGUACGGGGCUGUCCUUUUUUCUUCUGUAGCCCUGUUAUUAAUUUGUGUCUGGCUUAUUUAUUAUUAGGCUUGUCUAAGCACUUUAUCUCUGCUGUGAAAACUGCUGUAGCAAUAAAAAUGUAUUAUUAUUGUGA